UGCAACUCGACUGCACGAAGCUGGAAUCGCUAGUAAUCGCGGAUCAGCACGCCGCGGUGAAUACGUUCCCGGGCCUUGUACACACCGCCCGUCACACCAUGGAAGUCUGCAAUGCCCGAAGCCGGUGGCCUAACCACUUAUGUGGAAGGAGCCGUCUAAGGCAGGGCAGAUGACUGGGUGAAGUCGUAACAAGGUAAC
rnacentral:rRNA from 1 species